rnacentral:lncRNA from 1 species
CAGCUGAGAGGCCUGUGAGAGGUUCUGGGGCGCCACCGCAGUCAUUCUGUUCAGCGGGUAUAGGACUUUCAUUCAUGGGACUGUCCUUGAUUCCCAGCCAUCACUGGGAGGCUCUACCUUCAAGUGUUAUCCAGAAUCAGACCACCUCACCUCAUUACUGCGGCCUCCCUGGGAUGGGCCUGGCCUCCUUCAGUCUGUUCUCACCACAAAGCCACCAGAAGGAUCCUUUUAUUUUUAUUGAUUGAUUGAUUGAUACGGCGUCUGACUCUGUCAGCAGGCUGGAGUGCAAUGGCACGAUCUCACCUCACUGCAACCUCUGCUUCUUGGACUCAAGCAAUCCUCCCACCGCUGCCUCCUGAGUAACUGGGACCACAGGUGCACACCACCACACCCAGUUAAUCUUUUUGUAUUUUUGGUAGAGAUGGAGUUUCACCAUUUUGCCCAGGAUGGUCUCAAACUCUUAAGCUCAAGCAAUCUACCCACCUCAGCUUCCCACAGUGCUGGGAUUACAGAUAUGGGCCACCACGCCCAGCGCCUUUUAAAAGCGCAGUUGGAUCAUAGCAUUUAUCUGCUCAUAACAAUGGCUUUUGCUUCCCCGCUCACUCAAAAG